ensembl:lncRNA
CCCAUUUCUCAAGUAGAGUCACAGAGCAUCUUGGAUAGGAUUACAUCCAGAAACAUCAGAUGUGGCCAUAGCUGGAAACAGGGCAACAAAAUGCUAGACUGCAGAUGCUGGAUUCUGUUUUACACUUAUUUUUUCCACAGAUCUCAAGGGAAAGAAACUAUCACUCACAGCUCAUACCUGAACAACAGAAUGAACUCUUUCAUCCCGACAAAGAAAGAUUACUUGACAGAACCAGAGAGUGUAUCCACAAUCCUGACGGUGAAAGAAGGACUUUGAUACAGUUUGAUUAUUUUUUUCUUCGUGCAGAAACUCUAUUUCAGUUUCAGAGGACUCUUUAUUUUGUUUUGAUUCUUUUCCUUUUGUGUAUCUUGGUCAAUAAAUG